CCCUGGAGGACUAGUGGUUAGGCCACAUCACUCUUAUCACUGUGGCCCGGGUUCGACCCCCGGCCACUGGGG